UAGGGAAUCUUCCGCAAUGGGCGAAAGCCUGACGGAGCAACGCCGCGUGAGUGAUGAAGGUCUUCGGAUCGUAAAACUCUGUUAUUAGGGAAGAACAAAUGUGUAAGUAACUAUGCACGUCUUGACGGUACCUAAUCAGAAAGCCACGGCUAACUACGUGCCAGCAGCCGCGGUAAUACGUAGGUGGCAAGCGUUAUCCGGAAUUAUUGGGCGUAAAGCGCGCGUAGGCGGUUUUUUAAGUCUGAUGUGAAAGCCCACGGCUCAACCGUGGAGGGUCAUUGGAAACUGGAGAACUUGAGUGCAGAAGAGGAAAGUGGAAUUCCAUGUGUAGCGGUGAAAUGCGCAGAGAUAUGGAGGAACACCAGUGGCGAAGGCGACUUUCUGGUCUAUAACUGACGCUGAUGUGCGAAAGCGUGGGGAUCAAACAGG
rnacentral:rRNA from 1 species